rnacentral:rRNA from 1 species
CCUUGCGCCGCUUACCAUGCAGUCGAACGCUGAAGCUUGGUGCUUGCACUGGGUGGAUGAGUGGCGAACGGGUGAGUAAUACGUGAGUAACCUGCCCUUGACUCUGGGAUAAGCCUGGGAAACUGGGUCUAAUACUGGAUACGACGGCGCAUCGCAUGGUGUGUUGUGGAAAGGGUUUUACUGGUUUUGGAUGGGCUCACGGCCUAUCAGCUUGUUGGUGGGGUAAUGGCUCACCAAGGCGACGACGGGUAGCCGGCCUGAGAGGGUGACCGGCCACACUGGGACUGAGACACGGCCCAGACUCCUACGGGAGGCAGCAGUGGGGAAUAUUGCACAAUGGGCGGAAGCCUGAUGCAGCGACGCCGCGUGAGGGAUGACGGCCUUCGGGUUGUAAACCUCUUUCAGCACGGAAGAAGCGAGAGUGACGGUACGUGCAGAAGAAGCGCCGGCUAACUACGUGCCAGCAGCCGCGGUAAUACGUAGGGCGCAAGCGUUGUCCGGAAUUAUUGGGCGUAAAGAGCUCGUAGGCGGUUUGUCGCGUCUGCUGUGAAAGCCCGGGGCUUAACCCCGGGUGUGCAGUGGGUACGGGCAGACUUGAGUGCAGUAGGGGAGACUGGAAUUCCUGGUGUAGCGGUGAAAUGCGCAGAUAUCAGGAGGAACACCGAUGGCGAAGGCAGGUCUCUGGGCUGUUACUGACGCUGAGGAGCGAAAGCAUGGGGAGCGAACAGGAUUAGAUACCCUGGUAGUCCAUGCCGUAAACGUUGGGCACUAGGUGUGGGGAACAUUCCACGUUUUCCGCG